GUGCCAGCCGCCGCGGUAAUACAGAGGGGGCAAGCGUUGUUCGGAAUUACUGGGCGUAAAGGGCGCGUAGGCGGCCUGCUAAGUCGAACGUGAAAUCCCUGGGCUCAACCCAGGAACUGCGUCCGAUACUGGUUGGCUUGAAUCCGGGAGAGGGAUGUGGAAUUCCAGGUGUAGCGGUGAAAUGCGUAGAUAUCUGGAGGAACACCGGUGGCGAAGGCGACAUCCUGGACCGGUAUUGACGCUGAGGCGCGAAAGCCAGGGGAGCAAACGGGAUUAGAUACCCCGGUAGUCCUGGCCCUAAACGAUGAAUGCUUGGUGUGGUGGGUAUCGAUCCCUACCGUGCCGAAGCUAACGCAUUAAGCAUUCCGCCUGGGGAGUACGGUCGCAAGGCUGAA
rnacentral:rRNA from 1 species